AACGAACGCUGGCGGCGUGCUUAACACAUGCAAGUCGAACGUGAAAGUGGCUUCGGCCAUGAGUAAAGUGGCAGACGGGUGAGUAACACGUGGGUAACCUACCCCUUGGCGGGGAAUAACCACUCGAAAGGGUGGCUAAUACCGCAUAAGACCACGUCCUUGCGGGGAUGGGGUAAAAGACUUCGGUCACCGAGGGAGGGGCCCGCGGCCGAUUAGCUAGUUGGUGGGGUAACGGCUCACCAAGGCGACGAUCGGUAGCUGGUCUGAGAGGAUGAUCAGCCACACUGGUACUUAGACACGGACCAGACUCCUACGGGAGGCAGCAGUGGGGAAUAUUGCGCAAUGGACGAAAGUCUGACGCAGCAACGCCGCGUGGGUGAAGAAGGCCUUCGGGUCGUAAAGCCCUGUCAGGUGGGAAGAAACCUGCGCAAGCAGCUGACGGUACCACCAAAGGAAGCACCGGCUAACUCCGUGCCAGCCGCCGCGGUAACAC
rnacentral:rRNA from 1 species